rnacentral:lncRNA from 1 species
GCCAGCUUAGAUUUUUUUUUUUCUGUCUGCAGAUGUCUGUUUUCCUUAUUGGAUCCUCAAAACUGCUGAGCUGAUUUUAAUAUUUGGGGGGAAAAAAAAAAACUUACUCCUAGGCUGUAAACCUGCAUGACGAAUUCCAGCCCAGAGCAACAUUUUAUGAUCCAGUGUCAAGUUCUUGAAAAAUGAAAAAUGAGAGGAAAGAGAGAUUUAACUGUAAUGUGGAUACAUUUUGGACUGGAUGUUAACCAAUUGAAUAAGAGCUCCAGACAUUGCUGGAAGCAGAGAUGGACAAGAUGUUACCCAUACUGGUUUGGGACCCAUGACCCAUUUACCCCAAGGAGAAAUUAUCCAUGUGCCAGGCUGGCUUAGCACCCAGACCCUCAAACAAACAUUCCACCAUCCUGCUUGAGGAGUAAGCUUUUACACGAACUGUCCUCAGCACCAUUUGGAAAUGUCUUUGUCUUACUGGUGAAAAACUGGCCUAAGGAUUUUAAUACUGAAGUUCACAGUUAAGCGGACAAGGGGCUGGACACUUCCCUUGAAAUUUUCUACAUGGAACAACCCUUUUCUACCCCAUCUCCAGUUUACUUCAUGUUUUCCUAUGCUCACCUUCCUUUGUGUACUGAGGCACAGAGUCCACUUCUGAUGGGUGUGAGAAGCUAAAAGAAAUUCAAAUAAUACAUAUUUGGUCAACUUGAUGCAAAAUACCGGAUGUGAUAGUGGUUAUGGCCAUCGCCGAAGAGUAGAACAUGGAACCAAUCCACGGAAUUGGAGAGAUGCAGUAAAUGCAUUUGCAGAGCUGUUACCUCUGCCCCGCCUGCUCCCCCACUCACUGAGAGGGCAGAUGAAGACACUUUCUCCCCUGUCUCUGGCUGCGGACGGUCCAGGCACUGCCACCUCAGUGCUCCCUCCUCAGGUACCAACCUCUUCGCUGCAUGGUUUCAAAAGGCAGAUAAGCCAAUGGCCCUAGACCUGCCUUCCAGAAGAGAUCGGAGUGAGCCCCAUGUUUAUCCGAAGGAGUGCUGAAUAGUCAAGUAUCAGGUGAUUUGAGCCCCCCUAGAAUUUGCUAAUGAAAUAAAGCCUUUUUUCUUCUAAACAAAAUUACUUUUAGGUAAAUGAAUAUGUUGACACCUCAAAUAAGGUGUGCUCUGCCACAUGAGAAAAAACAAGUGUUUUUAUCCUUGUAAUUAUCCAUUUUGAUCACUCUUUCUAUUCAAGGAAUCGCUUCUAAAACUGAAUGCAUGUGAAACAUACAAAAGAACAAUUAGAUAAAGAAAAUCCUUUAAUAUAAAAAAGUUGCAAGAUUAAAG